GUGUCAGCAGCCGCGGUAAUACGUAGGGUGCGAGCGUUAAUCGGAAUUACUGGGCGUAAAGCGUGCGCAGGCGGUUGUGUAAGACAGGUGUGAAAUCCCCGGGCUUAACCUGGGAACUGCGCUUGUGACUGCACAGCUAGAGUAUGGCAGAGGGGGGUGGAAUUCCACGUGUAGCAGUGAAAUGCGUAGAGAUGUGGAGGAACACCGAUGGCGAAGGCAGCCCCCUGGGCCAAUACUGACGCUCAUGCACGAAAGCGUGGGGAGCAAACAGGAUUAGAUACCCUGGUAGUCCACGCCCUAAACGAUGUCGACUAGGUGUUCGGUGAGGAGACUCAUUGAGUACCGCAGCUAACGCGUGAAGUCGACCGCCUGGGGAGUACGGUCGCAAGAUUAAAACUUAAAUGAAUUGACGG
rnacentral:rRNA from 1 species